rnacentral:lncRNA from 1 species
ACGUGUCGGCGAAUGCGGAAGAAAAUCGGGAAAACCGAUGUGGCAUGCUCUUCCCAGGCAACUGUGCUGGGACAGGGUCCCGCAAACGUCGCGGGAGAAAAACCGAAGACAUGAGGUGCUCCCAGUGCGGUCCAACAGGCGUAUUUUAAAUAUAUGUCCCCAGGUCCAUGACUGAAGAAAAUUCUGGAAGGACUCCCAGGAAGUUAUUUCUUUUUUCUGCUUGCUGUGAUAUUGAGGUAACUGUUUUGCCAUUUAAAUGCAUUCUAUCAUUUGUUACUGAUAAUGAUGACGGCGGCGGCGGCAAAGUGAUGAUAUCUGGGAUGUAAGAAUAUGGAAAUUUUAUUUGCUUGCCUUUCCUUU